rnacentral:rRNA from 1 species
GUGAGGAAUAUUGGUCAAUGGGCGGGAGCCUGAACCAGCCAAGUCGCGUGAAGGAAGAAGGAUCUAUGGUUCGUAAACUUCUUUUGCAGGGGAAUAAAGUGCAGGACGUGUCCUGUUUUGUAUGUACCCUGAGAAUAAGGAUCGGCUAACUCCGUGCCAGCAGCCGCGGUAAUACGGAGGAUCCGAGCGUUAUCCGGAUUUAUUGGGUUUAAAGGGUGCGUAGGUGGUUUGAUAAGUCAGCGGUGAAAGUUUGCAGCUUAACUGUAAAAAUGCCGUUGAAACUGUCGGUCUUGAGUGCAAAUGAGGUAGGCGGAAUGCGUGGUGUAGCGGUGAAAUGCAUAGAUAUCACGCAGAACUCCGAUUGCGAAGGCAGCUUACUAAGCAAAUAUUGACGCUGAGGCACGAAAGCGUGGGGAUCAAACAGGAUUAGAAACCCCAGUAGUCC